rnacentral:rRNA from 1 species
AUUGAACGCUGGCGGCAGGCCUAACACAUGCAAGUCGAGCGGAUGAAGGGAGCUUGCUCCUGGAUUCAGCGGCGGACGGGUGAGUAAUGCCUAGGAAUCUGCCUGGUAGUGGGGGAUAACGUCCGGAAACGGGCGCUAAUACCGCAUACGUCCUGAGGGAGAAAGUGGGGGAUCUUCGGACCUCACGCUAUCAGAUGAGCCUAGGUCGGAUUAGCUAGUUGGUGGGGUAAAGGCCUACCAAGGCGACGAUGCGUAACUGGUCUGAGAGGAUGAUCAGUCACACUGGAACUGAGACACGGUCCACACUCCUACGGGAGGCAGCAGUGGGGAAUAUUGGACAAUGGACGAAAGCCUAAUCCAGCCAUGCCGCGUGUGUGAAGAAGGUCUUCUGAUUGUAAAGCACUUUAAGUUGUGAGGAAGUACAGUAAGUUAAUACCUUGCUGUUUUGACGUUACCAACAGAAUAAGCACCGGCUAACUUCGUG